CCAAAGCACACAUAUCAAAUAUAUCAAUGAUUUCCAAACAAGGUUAAACGAGGUCUUACAAAUCACUCUAGGUGCCUUAUCGCAUCAUAAUCCAUUAGGUGGUGACUCUUCAAAUGCCCAAAUCCCAUAAGGAAAGAGUUUUUUACCCCAUGAACUAUGAAACUUGGACUUUCUCCGCAAAAGAAAAAGGAGGAGCGAUAUUAUGAACACCCAUUCACUCAAAAGCACACUCGAACAAAAAUUAUCAAAAUCUGAUGCUAAAAUCUCCCUCAAAACUUAGAUUUUAAGUUUGGGAACAUUUCUGCAUUUCUCAAAAUUUUCACCCAAAAUCCGGAAUUAAAUGACAAAACUAAGAUUAGAUUAAUGAAAUAUAACUAGAAAGGGAUAAGGAAUCAUUACCCACAAAUUUUUCCUUAAAAAUCCGCCCAAAAUCCCUCUACCGAGCUCCAAUUCGAUUUUCCAACUUAUGAACUCAAACCCUCAAUUUUCUUUUUUUUCUGCCCAGUGAUUUUCGCAUCUGCAGGGGUUGACCGCACCUGCGGCUGCUACUCCGCACCUACGGAUUUUCAUUAAACGUCCAUAAAUUGCACCUACGAUCCUAUACUCGCAGAUGCGAUCCGCUUCUACGGUUCUUGAGCCGCACCUAUGACCAGCUUCACGUGUGCCUCAGACCACACCUGCAGUUCCCUAACUGCUUCUGCGGUGCUGAACGUGCGGUCACACAUACGCAGGUGCAAUUAUGACAGGUUCAGCAAUCUCAGAUUUUGCCUAAGUCCAAAUUCCAAUUCGUUAAGCAUC
rnacentral:lncRNA from 1 species